AUGAGCUUGCAGAAGAACCAGUUUUGCUCAGCUUUGGCUUUCUGAGAGAAGGAAUGAUUGCUGGAGAAAUUCAGCUGGGCAGCAAGUCCCUGCUUGGGAAAGGUUGAUGAUUUCAGCAUGGGAUAGGAAACGAAAAGCAUCACUGCGUGGGAUGACAUUGGGGCGCCCUGGGUGACGGAAGGGCUUGACUCUAAAAAAAGGAGAUUUUUCCCAACAAUUUAUGCAGAAAAACAUCCUCUGAGUGGGGCGUAAUUUAUUUCUGCAGCUGAAACCAUCUGCUUCUCGCUUUCAGCUACAACCAGUCCAGGUUUACAAACUCAAAAAAAAGCGCUAGGUGUGAUUAUUAAGCCAAACCUCACCUUCUUCCUCAGACCUUGCUGAGGCCAUACCCAGGCACAGGUCUGUCUGGAGGUAGAGCACAUCAGGACGUUUGACCAGCCCCAUCCGUGAGUGCUGCUCUGGGUAACGGGUGAAAACUAAUACUGGUGAAAUUACUUUUUGCAAAGCUGGAGUGAAAUUUGCUUAAAAACUGCUUGAAAACUGAACUUUUGCCAAACAUCAUGUCAGCAAAAAACAAUAGGAAAGGGUGGUUAUUUUUUCCCAUUAUGGUACUUUCCAGCCACCAUUCCCUUAUGUUUCCUACUUUCCGUAUGCAGUUAAAACAGGAGAAAAAUGCUCCAGUUUCUGCAGGUGGAAGCACAGAGAGUGAUGGAGGUGGAAAUGGGAAGGCUGAGAUGGCUCGGGGUGGGGGUGGGGAGAUGGGGCCAAGCAGGCAGAUUCCUUGCAGAGCCGCCCUGCCGUGGUGAGGACAGAAAGAGUUAAGGCGCAGCUUUGCUGGGGGAGCUCAGGUGUGGCUCUGCUUUCCUUCCUGGCCUCCAGGAUUACAGCACUGCCUUGCCAGGAUUUGGAGACUGGUUAGGAAAUGCCUGUCCCAGGAGAGCUGCCCCCAGACCUGGGGCUAGGAGGGUCCCAUCCCUGCAGCGUGGGGCCAUGAGGGCAGCACCUUCCCUGGGGACAAAGCUGGCCCAGAGGACAUUGUUGGUGGGGAAGGCAAAGCAGAUGGUGCACCCAGAUUUGCCCCACGCAGGCUGGUUUUGAACAGCUCUGAGAAAGCAGCCGGUGCUCAGGAGAGCAAAAAGGAUGAGAUUUACUGUGACUGCUGCUUGGCCAAGGAGGUGGCAGUGGUGACGUCCUGCCUCGCCUGCCCGGAGCAUCGCCCUGCUGCCCUGGGGAGCAGCGGGUUGCAGAGCCGGACCUGCAGCCCCUCUGAGGACAUGCCGACCCACGGUUUAGAGCACUGAACUCUAUAACCAGAAACCUGGUCAUGAGUGAAUAGCCUGGGAUGAACUUCUUCAGUCCCACCUGGUGUACGACUGGAAGCCGAAGUCUCUUGAGAAAGCAAUUCUCAAACUACAGAAUAACACCCUGUCGAGCAUGGAGUGCUGUGAAUUCAGGAAGAGCUCCGGGGUGGAUGGUCUUCCUUGCCUUUACAUUGGGCUGAAGGACAAACUGUCUUGAAUCAGAGAUUUGUGGGAUCAAAAUUAUGAUGUCUGCAACUGGACCAACCAACCAUCACAACUCUGCCCCCCAACCAAAGACAGGGAGUGAUUUCCUCAAGUCAUGCAAUGCAGAGCAGGAGAAAACCAAAAAGUGACCAGCACUGCUCCUUGGGAACAGCUGUACCCAGAUCAUCCUGGAAGAUUGGAACACUGGCAUCAAGCGCUGUCUAACAAGAGUUCGUACUUUAGCCGCUACUAUUUUGAGGUUGAGAUACUGAGGCUGAUGUUUACCUUGGCAUGACGUACAGAAGCAGUGACCAGACAGGUUCAGAAAGGAACAGCUGCACCCUGGGGAACAACAACUGGAGCAUCCUGCAGAAUGGGAAAGGGUUUUCUGCAUGGCACAGUGAUGUGGAGAUGCGCCUCCAAAUGGAUGUGCUUGGUAGGAUAGGGGUCUAC